rnacentral:rRNA from 1 species
AGUGAACGCUGGCGGUAGGCCUAACACAUGCAAGUCGAACGGCAGCACAGUAAGAGCUUGCUCUUACGGGUGGCGAGUGGCGGACGGGUGAGGAAUACAUCGGAAUCUACUUUUUCGUGGGGGAUAACGUAGGGAAACUUACGCUAAUACCGCAUACGACCUACGGGUGAAAGCAGGGGAUCUUCGGACCUUGCGCGAUUGAAUGAGCCGAUGUCGGUUUAGCUAGUUGGCGGGGUAAAGGCCCACCAAGGCGACGAUCCGUAGCUGGUCUGAGAGGAUGAUCAGCCACACUGGAACUGAGACACGGUCCAGACUCCUACGGGAGGCAGCAGUGGUGAAUAUUGGACAAUGGGCGCAAGCCUGAUCCAGCCAUACCGCGUGGGUGAAGAAGGCCUUCGGGUUGUAAAGCCCUUUUGUUGGGAAAGAAAAGCAGCAGGUUAAUACCCCGCUGUUCUGACGGUACCCAAAGAAUAAGCACCGGCUAACUUCGUG